CUCACUGUAGCUCAUUAGAGAGCUGCACUGGAAUUGCAGGGCCGUAGGUUCGAUUCCUGCCAGAGGGC